UGGGGAAUAUUGGACAAUGGAGGAAACUCUGAUCCAGCAAUUCUGUGUGUGUGAAGAAGGUUUUAGGACUGUAAAACACUUCUAGUAGGGAAGAAAAAAAUGACGGUACCUACAGAAGAAGCAACGGCUAAAUACGUGCCAGCAGCCGCGGUAAUACGUAUGUUGCGAGCGUUAUCCGGAAUUAUUGGGCUUAAAGGGCAUCUAGGCGGUAAGACAAGUUGAAGGUGAAAACCUGUGGCUCAACCAUAGGCUUGCCUACAAAACUGUUGAACUAGAGUACUGGAAAGGUGGGUGGAACUACACGAGUAGAGGUGAAAUUCGUAGAUAUGUGUCGGAAUGCCGAUGAUGAAGAUAACUCACUGGACAGAAACUGACGCUGAAGUGCGAAAGCUAGGGGAGCCAACAGG
rnacentral:rRNA from 1 species